rnacentral:rRNA from 1 species
UACGUAGGGGGCUAGCGUUGUCCGGAAUCAUUGGGCGUAAAGAGCGCGUAGGCGGCCAGAUAAGUCCGGUGUGAAAGUCAAAGGCUCAACCUUUGAAUGCCGCUGGAAACUGUCUGGCUAGAGUCCGGAAGGGGCGAGUGGAAUUCCUGGUGUAGCGGUGAAAUGCGCAGAUAUCAGGAGGAACACCAAUGGCGAAGGCAGCUCGCUGGAACGGUACUGACGCUGAGGCGCGAAGCGUGGGGAGCGAACAGG